rnacentral:misc_RNA from 1 species
GGAAAUAGUCGUCACCUGCAUCCUCCUCUCUUCUAUUUCUGGGCUGCUGGAGGAAACCUUCUGCCAUCCACAAGCGGACUAGUUUUUCUUUCUCAAAUUCGUAGCCCCUAGGAAAUAUUGAACAGUAGGCAAAGCAUCGCUUCAGAUUUGCAGGGAGGUGAGAAUAGCUGAGUCUGAGAGAUGAACGAAUGCCUCCCUCGCUGUUUUCCAAGAUGGCAUCCAAUGCCUUCCAAUCUUCAACAGCUCGUUUGGAGCGCAAGAUACUGCCAAGCGCUUUUGCAGCUAAAGGCAAACCUUCACACCUGGCAGCUAUCUGUUCGCCGAUCUCCAGGAGCUCUUGAUGUGAACUUGGGCUUUUUUCUCUGAAUGCCUCUUUUACUAAUAGCGAAAAG